AGAGUUUGAUCAUGGCUCAGGAUGAACGCUAGCUACAGGCUUAACACAUGCAAGUCGAGGGGCAGCAUCAUCAAAGCUUGCUUUGAUGGAUGGCGACCGGCGCACGGGUGAGUAACACGUAUCCAACCUGCCGACAACACUGGGAUAGCCUUUCGAAAGAAAGAUUAAUACCGGAUGGUAUAGUUUUCCCGCAUGGGAUGAUUAUUAAAGAAUUUCGGUUGUCGAUGGGGAUGCGUUCCAUUAGGCAGUUGGCGGGGUAACGGCCCACAACCUACGAUGGAUAGGGGUUCUGAGAGAAGGUCCCCCACAUUGGAACUGAGACACGGUCCAAACUCCUACGGGAGCA
rnacentral:rRNA from 1 species